GAUGAACGCUGGCGGCGUGCCUAACACAUGCAAGUCGAGCGAAGCACUUUACUUGAUUUCUUCGGAUUGAAGGUAUAGUGACUGAGCGGCGGACGGGUGAGUAACGCGUGGGUAACCUGCCUCAUACAGGGGGAUAACAGUUAGAAAUGACUGCUAAUACCGCAUAAGACCACAGCACCGCAUGGUGCGGGGGUAGAAACUCCGGUGGUAUGAGAUGGACCCGCGUCUGAUUAGCUAGUUGGUAAGGUAAGGGCUUACCAAGGCGACGAUCAGUAGCCGACCUGAGAGGGUGACCGGCCACAUUGGGACUGAGACACGGCCCAAACUCCUACGGGAGGCAGCAGUGGGGAAUAUUGCACAAUGGGGGAAACCCUGAUGCAGCGACGCCGCGUGAGUGAUGAAGUAUUUCGGUAUGUAAAGCUCUAUCAGCAGGGAAGAAAAUGACGGUACCUGACUAAGAAGCACCGGCUAAAUACGUGCCAGCAGCCGCGGUAAUACGUAUGGUGCAAGCGUUAUCCGGAUUUACUGGGUGUAAAGGGAGCGUAGACGGAGAGGCAAGUCUGAUGUGAAAACCCGGGGCUCAACCCCGGGACUGCAUUGGAAACUGUUUUUCUAGAGUGUCGGAGAGGCAAGUGGAAUUCCUAGUGUAGCGGUGAGAUGCGUAGAUAUUAGGAGGAACACCAGUGGCGAAGGCGGCUUGCUGGACGAUGACUGACGUUGAGGCUCGAAAGCGUGGGGAGCAAACAGGAUUAGAUACCCUGGUAGUCCACGCCGUAAACGCUGAAUACGAGGUGUCGGGUGGCAAAGCCAUUCGGUGCCGCAGCAAACGCAAUAA
rnacentral:rRNA from 1 species